GUAGCAAUGAUUGAAGCAUAUUUGCGUGCAAAUAACAUGUUUGUUGACUAUAAUGAGGGAAAUCUUAUUUCGACUCCACCAACCAGUGGGACUAUUCUUCCAGGGAUCACACAAAGAACUGUCAUCGACACAUAGGCUUGGUUAUGUUGUGCUAAAAUAUGUUCUUUCGAUUGGAAUUUGGCUCGUAAGAAACUAAAUACUCUCUCUGUGUUUGUAAUUUGUUAUGUCAAUUCCUUGAAUACGGUAUUAAAGCUCAUUAAGAAUGUACACGAAUGAGGCAUGUGGUUGUCUAACAUGGUGAGGCAAUUUUUGACCUGGUUCUCAUUAAGAAUGUACAUGCCAUUAGAUUUGUAUUUGCAUUCAUGUUAACAGAGUAAAUGCGUGUUUUAAUUGCCUUUGUUACUGA